rnacentral:rRNA from 1 species
UACGUAGGGGGGCAAGCGUUGUCCGGAUUCAUUGGGCGUAAAGAGCGUGUAGGCGGCCAGGUAGGUCGGUUGUGAAAACUGGAGGCUCAACCUUCAGAGGUCGACCGAAACCAUCUGGCUAGAGUCCGGGAGAGGAGAGUGGAAUUCCUGGUGUAGCGGUGAAAUGCGCAGAUAUCAGGAAGAACACCCGUGGCGAAAGCGGCUCUCUGGAAACGGUACUGACGCUGAGACGCGAAAGCGUGGGAGCGAACAGG